ACACGACUACAUUAGAUACCCCGGUAGUCCUAGCCGUAAACGAUACUCGCUAGGUGUCGGCCACGGUGCGACCGUUGUCGGUGCCGUAGGGAAGCCGUGAAGCGAGCCACCUGGGAAGUACGGCCGCAAGGCUGAAACUUAAAGGAAUUGGCGGGGGAGCACAACAACGGGUGGAGCUUGCGGUUUAAUUGGAUUCAACGCCGGAAAUCUUACCGGGACCGACAGCAACAUGAAGGCCAAGCUGAAGACUUUGCCGGAUUUAGCUG
rnacentral:rRNA from 1 species